AUAUAUUUUAAUAUUUCUCUUUCAUAACAUUUAAUGGUAAUGUGCUGAAAUGUUUUGAAACAAAAAUAUGUAGAAAUCAUUUCGAAAGAUAUAUCGUAAAAUAUCAUGAUUAUACCAUAUAAUAUAACCAUCGUUGUACAUUUAUAUCAUACCGUUAUUAGUUAUUACUGAAGAAUUGAAAUUACGAUAUAUACAUUCAUAUUCCACAUCGUAAUUAAAACAUUAAAAUAUAUAAUAAAACUAUAAAAUUGUAUUUGUAUUCGUAAAUGAUAUGCGAUUAAUGAAUUGACUUUUUUUGUCUGUACGUAACUUACGUAAUGUUAUUCGGGAAUUAAUAGACAGCUCGAAAUUAGAACAUCUUAAAUAUCGUGAGCAUGAGUAUUUCGAGUACGUAGUGCUGCACUAAAAUUCGAAACUUCGCAGUAAGUUACAUAAUUAUGGUAUCGAUAUAAUUUCUAUUUCUAUUUGUAUAUGUUAUUCGUUUGUUAUUUUCUUUUUUUUUUAUUAUUAAAUAAGAUUAAUCGAUACGUCUUUGAUUUUCGAAAGAAAUGAUAAGAUGUAAAAUACAUUUAGCGCAGAAAUCGAGAUUAAUUAAGAUAAGAGGUUCUGCAGGAAUUUUAGAACCGUAUGAAUUUGGUAAUAAAUGACAAAAAAAAUUAAUUAAAAUUAUAAAUAAAUUGAUUAUACAAAGAUAAUAUAUAAGACAAUAUAAUUUCUUUCCUUAAAUAGACAUGCUAAAGAAUCUGAAACUAUAACUAGAAUUACACUACUAUUAGGUCAUUAAAUAUGAAAUGUCCGAUUUGAAAUUAAAAGUUUGGUUCAUUAUAUCUCAAACAAGAAGCAGUAUAAUUAAUCAAAGUAUGCGCCUAAACUGUCGAUACAAUUUUGUCAUCUUAACGGCAGCUUGUUUAUGUCGGCAGCAAAGAAGCUGUAGAGCGAAUGACAAUGAAGUUGCAAAAGGCGUUCUUACACACAGUUUGUUGAGAAUUAAAUAUUUUUCCUUGCAAGAAGGAAGGUUCAAUGCCUGAAAAAGGUAAUCUUUAAAAAUUUAAAAAAAAAUUGAUCUAAAAAAACAAUUCGAAAGAAAAUUGCAAAUAAAAAUGUGCGCUUGAAAGAGUGAUAAUGUACCUUAAAAAUAAAAAGAAGUCAAGAAUUGUCAAAGUGAUAUGUCAAAGAUAUCGGCUCUUAAACGUGGUACUUAAGAAAAUCAUUUCAUACUCAAUGACCUAAUUUAACUAGGAUCACACACCUGUGUACGCGCGCACGCGCACACAUACACACGCAUCUACACACUCGCAUAUGCACGCACGCACGCACGCACGCACGCAUGCGUUCAUACACGUCUCUAUGUAGUAAAGAAAAUUAAGAAAUAUUAAAGCUAAAUGGCACGUAAGUAUCGAUAUAAUCACUGAACCAAAUCGAUAUGACAUGGACAGACAAGGGGAUUAAUGAGAUCGAGAGUGAGGGUUGCGGCUCAAUCCCGGUGACCUCGAAACCAAACCGGCCUCGUCACGAGACGCAAGGAUCGAUAUUCGCACCACCAUUCGCUCUAAUACGAUGCAGAUAUCACUCGACCGUUCCCACUUUCUCACCAUUAAAUUGUCGAGAAGCAUUACGUCACUCGAUGCAAACGAUUGUCAAGGUGCAAACUAGUCAAUUUAAUAGAAAAUAGAAAAUUUUGCU